UACGUAGGGUGCAAGCGUUUGUCCGGAAUUAUUGGGCGUAAAGAGCUCGUAGGCGGUUUGUCGCGUCUGCUGUGAAAACUGGAGGCUCAACCUCCAGCCUGCAGUGGGGUACGGGGCAGGACUAGAGUGGCGGUAGGGGGGAGAUUGGGAAUUCCUGGGUGUAGCGGUGGGAAUGCGCAGAUAUCAGGAGGAACACCGAUGGGCGAAGGCAGAUCUCUGGGCCGUAACUGACACUGAGGCACGAAAAGCUAGGGGGAGCAAACCAGGG
rnacentral:rRNA from 1 species